AGAAGAAGAAGAUGGAGAUUAGUUGGCAAACGUCAUCAAAUCGACCUGAGAAUCAAGACUAUAUUUCGAGAUGGGAGUUGCCAUGUUAAAAGCCGCUGGGCUGGAAAAAACAUUCGUUGAUUUGUUCACUGAAGAGUUCAAAGGAUGACCUUAUGAGUAUUAUGCAUGUGGGCCUUAAUCGCUCUGCUUGAUCCUUGAUUUAUUUUUGUGUUUCAGUGAAACGUGUCUUGAUGAACUCGAUCAUUGUUAUAUUCAUUGGUGUUAGUUCUGUCAAAUGUGGAAGGAUACAAGUUGAUGCUGUGAUGGUGACCGUUUCAGACAUGGUUAAAUCAUCACAAAAACUUAGCCAUUUCGUGCACAGGUGGGUGACUCUUCCUUGAAGGGAAAGGCUGCUUGUGCAAAGUUUACCAGGAUUAGUACAAAUGGAACUCAUAGUAUUGUCUUGUGCAAACCAAUCACUGGCUGGACUCAUCAAGUAAGAUAAUUUUCAGUGGACAGAUGCAUGUUAAUAUACAGUGCCAACACUUCAAGAGAGGCAUAAAAAAUCUGCUUGGUGUUCUAGUAUAGACAAAUGACUUCUAAGUUGUUGUUAUGAAAAGAUAAGUCAUAUAAUUAUGAAAGAUGAUUCACUUAAAUUUGAAUUCUUAGGUCAGGAUAAAGGCUUAUUUUUCCUAUUACAAACUCUCCUGAUGCAGAUAAAUGUGCAUUUGCAAUAUACUGGCCAUCCAAUUGUCAAUGACAUGCUUUACAUCUCUUAACAAGUUACUGAUCGUGCCACACAAGAAAUGAGUGCUGACAGAUCUGCUGCUUGUUCAGGCCAUUCUCUAACAUCCAAUACUCAUGAAAAUUACGUUGAUAGAGAUGAGAACUCUGUUGAAGAAUUCAGCAGCCAUUACUUUAAUACAGUUUUCAAAAAGGGUGAUAUGAUAUGAUAGAUUUUAUGGCCAUAAGAGACAUUGAAAACUGUAUUAAAGUUUAAAAUGAUAGUAUUAGGGUUUAGAAUAAAUUGGUAGAGAUAUGUAUAACAAAGAAGAAUGCAGAACCUUUUAGAUGACAAAAAUAUCUGGACCUAAUUUGGAUGUGGAUCUUCAUUCAGUUUCCCGUAAUGUCACUAAAAACUUACAGAAAACCUUGUGCUUUGUAACCAAGCCAUUCAUUCUAGAUUAGAGUUACUUUGGUAAAUGGUUAGCAGUUCUAUUUUGGUUUUAUAAAAGCAUGACAAUAAUUUUCUA